ACCCCUUCCCCCUUUCUGAAACACCAACAUCCACACGCACAGAGAUGGAGAAGAGAGAAAGAGAGGGCGCCAGCGGAGGAGAAAAGGGGAGGGAGCCGCGCCACCACCAUCCAGCCCGUCGCGCCGCUGUCACGGUGCCGUCGUGGUCGCCGACGAAGAAAGAUGGCUCGCGAGUGAGAGGGGCGCGGGCUUGGAGCCACCGUCGCGGAGAAGAGGCGUCAGAAAGAGGGAGCUCGCGGUGAAGAGAGAGAGGCACACGAAGAAGAGAGGCCUGCGACUAGCCUUGUCACCAUCAGCGCCGCAGGUUGCUGUCGUCAACCUCGCGAGCUGCCACCGUGUCACUGUUACUGUGCUGCAGCGCCACCGUUCAACCUCAUCCCACGAUGUCUCCAUGGUCGUUUCUAUCACGUAAGGGAGCGAGAGAGGAGAGGUGGUGAACGAAGCCAUCGCAGGAACCGCCGUCAGAAAGGGUUCAGGUCACCAUUGAUGGGGAUAGCCAGAACUGUUCCGAAGAUUUUGCCGUUGAUUCUAAUUCUGUUUUGUUUCGAUUGAAGUCGUUGCUGCCUUAGUCAUCGGUGAGUCGUGUACUGCAACCAGAGUCGAAUACAGCACCAGCCUUGUUCUGAUUUCGAUUCUCCUAUUCUUAAAACUGCAUAAUUGAUGUUGAGGUCGUUGUUGUUCUUGCUCCGAAAGAACUGAUGUCACCGUUGCUGCCAUUGGUUCUGAAUCCCAUUACAUUGAUUCUGAGCUAUGUUUGCUUUUGAUUCUUAUCCACUUCGAAUCCUUGUCUUGUUGCAACCAUCAUCACUGUCAUAAGAGAUUGACAAUGCUGCUGUUUUGGUUGCAUGCUUGCUGCUUCCAUAAAAUUAAAAAGAGAAGGGAGUUACCAUGUUUAAUCUAUGUGAAUUCAGCUAAUCGAGGUAGGGGUUUUUCUUAAAAUCUAUUUUACAUUACAGAGUUGUUAUGAAUAGAUAUUGAUGUAAAAAAAUAUACUUAUGUGAUUAUAUUUGUCUUGUGGAUGUGAUGGUUUGUUAGACUGAAUUAUUGGUUGCUUGGUUGCGUGAAUGGCGUAUGGUUGUUGAUAAGAAAUCAGUUUGAAAUAUUAUUUACUUGAUUAUUAUGAAAAGUGAAUUUUCUUGGUUUUAGAGUUUCCUUGGUAAUAAAAAUGAACUGAUUUUGGAAAUAAUUUGAGAUAUGAAAAUAAAUUUAUUCUGGGAGCGGUUUGAUUUUGAGUUGGUCUGAUUUUAUAAAUGAUUUAAUAUUUGAGCUGGUUUGAUUUUAAAAAGAGUUUAUUUAUUGGAAUAGGUUUGAUUUGAAAAUAUUUUGAUAUUGAAACUGGUUCAAUUUUGGAAAAUGUUUGAGAUUUGGAAAUGGAUGAGAAAUGUUUGGAUGGGACCCGAAAAGGGUGGCAGUGUCUGAGUUUUAGAGGAGAUGCUGCCGAAUUUUUAUAAAAUUGGAAGUUUCGCCUGAAGUAAUUAUUUUAAAAGAUUUAGUUUUUGAACGUUAUAUGUUUUAAGAUUGAUUUAUUUAGAAGGGAAAGAAUUAAGUUUUGGACUGAGAUUGUUGAUUAAUGGAACAGAAAGAAGGAUGAUAAGGAUUGACUUUGAAAUAUGAUUUUUUAAUGAAUUUGGAAAUGAGAUAUGGAUUGACGAAUGGUAAUGAUAUUGAGAAUGGAUUAGAUAUUGAUGAAUGAUUAUGUAUGAAACUUGGCUUGAAUGAUUUAAUGAUUUGAGAUACGAGGUUCCCUAGAUGAAGUACCAUGGCUUGCCACUACGUGUACCAGGUUGAAAACUCGAUACUCUGUUGACCCUAUGACGUAAGUGUGACCGGGCACUAUAUAAAUUCCCAGGAAUGUUACCCCCAUUGAGCAAUAUUGAUUAUUUGAGAAAAAGCUAUGCAUAGACUCUUGGGGAUGCAUGUCGGGGGACAGUCUAAGGACAAUUCAGACUUGUCGGGUUGGCUGGAUAACCGACAGAUAAGCCUCAUCAGCCAUAGGACAGGCAUGCAUCAUAUGCAUUUGUAUGCUUUGUUUGGGUUUGAACUUGUUUUGGUUUGCCUAAUUGCUAAACUGUUCUUAACUGCUACUUGAACUAUUUGCUGUAACUGCUACCUAAACCUGUACUUUCCUUGUUUGUCUUGCCUGUGUUUGUCCUGGCGUGCUCAUUUGAGAAUGAACUUUGAUGCUGGAUUAAUGAUCGUGUUGUUUGAUUGCGUGGUUGGUUUUUGAUUGAGAUUUUCUUAUAAGAAAGGAAAUGUUUUGGAUUUCUGAAAGAUUAAACAUUGUUUCUUUGAAAAGGUUUUGAACGGUUACCUAUUGGUUUUUAAAAGAUUCAUAAGGCAAUGAUAAUCACUGAGCUUGAAAAUAGUUUUCUUAUUAAAUAUCUUAUUAUGACAAUUUUGAAACUUUGUGGUGAGACCGUGUGGUUAGGUUCUCACCCCCUACAGCUUUAUCUUUUUAGGAAUUGGAUGGAAGAGCAUUACGAAGGGCUAUACUGCGUUUUAAUUUUAUAUGUUGUAUUGAUUAGAUUAUUUUCUUCCUUCAUCUUUGUUAUUACAAUUUUUUGUAAGAAGGAUAGGAGUUGUGUGUUUUAUACGUAUAUUAUAUUAUUAGUUGUUAUGUAAACAGUCUUGUAUAUGGAUCUAUGCCUGUUUGUUUUUUUUAGAUAAAGUACUAAU